rnacentral:tRNA from 1 species
GGCCUCGUAGCUCAGUUGGCUAGAGCGUUGGCUGUACUAAAGCCUUCCCCUUGCUGACUUGGUUCGAAUCCAACUGAGUCCG